UACGAAGGGUGCAAGCGUUACUCGGAAUUACUGGGCGUAAAGCGUGCGUAGGUGGUUUGUUAAGUCCGUUGUGAAAGCCCUGGGCUCAACCUGGGAAUUGCAGUGGAUACUGGCGAGCUAGAGUGCGGUAGAGGAUGGUGGAAUUCCCGGUGUAGCGGUGAAAUGCGUAGAUAUCGGAAGGAACACCUGUGGCGAAAGCGGCUCACUGGACCAUUACUGACGCUGAUGCACGAAAGCUAGGGGAGCAAACAGG
rnacentral:rRNA from 1 species